rnacentral:rRNA from 1 species
GACGAACGCUGGCGGCGUGCUUAACACAUGCAAGUCGAACGAUGAACUCCAGCUUGCUGGGGGGAUUAGUGGCGAACGGGUGAGUAGCACGUGAGUAACCUGCCCUGGACUCUGGGAUAACCCCGAGAAAUCGGAGCUAAUACCGGAUAGGACCUUGAACCGCAUGGUUUGGGGUGGAAAGUUUUUCGGUCUGGGAUGGA